UACAGAGGAGCCAAGCGUUGUCCGGAUUGACUGGGCGUAAAGCGCACGCAGGCGGAUGCGCGCGUGGGGUGUGAAAUCUGGCCGCUUAACGGCCAGGCGCCAUCCCAUACGGCGCGUCUGGAGUGAUGCAGAGGUCGAUGGAAUUGCCGGUGUAGCGGUGAAAUGCGCAGAUAUCGGGAAGAACACCCGUGGCGAAGGCGGUUCUCUGGGACGGUACUGACGCUGAGACGCGAAAGCGUGGGGAGCGAACAGG
rnacentral:rRNA from 1 species